CCCAUCAGCAACCAGACUCAACAUCUGGACAUCACUCACCUCUGUCACACAUGUGCAGCCGUUACAGCACUGGCUCCACAGACUCGUUCACAGUCUCCUUCAGUCUCUCUGAUAGUGCUGAUCUCUGCUGCUGCUGCUGUUGGAUCUCUGUUGAUUGUAGCUGUAGUCGGGAUCUUCUACAUCUACAGGAAAUUUAGAAAAACAGUUCAGACACAGGAUGAAGACAGAACUGAUCCAGCAUUGAGUAAACCAACAACAAUAAAAAAGAAAUCAAAGACGGAGGCUGUGUAUGAAAAUGUCCGCAAAAAACGAUGAUCAAAUACUGUAUCCACUGGAACAGAUGUUAAUACUGGACACUGACUCGCACAUUUUGACCACAUUUAUUACCUGAUAGGAUGUCUUUUGUUUUCACUCGUUGUAUCAUAUCUUUUGGUGUUAUUGUGAUGUGUGAAAUUAUGUUUUCAUUUAGUGGUUCCCCAAUAUCAUAACAUCCAGAAACUCAACUGAAAUGUUCUACUUUUAGUUUAUCAUAUGGAAGUUUACCUAACAUUCAUAAUUAAACGUUACUCACACACUUCACUGUGCCCCUUUGUCUGUCAUUUCCUGUUCUUGUUUUAUUCCUUUUAAGUUUAACUGGAUAACUGCAUUGCAUGCAGUAUCACACACGAUAUGAUCUGCUGGAUAUGUAGCAAAGAUACGACGUCUUGUACGUUGAAGAUUUUUCUUUCUUUGUUUUUUUUUUGUAUUAGUUAGGUUUAGUGUAUAAAUGGGUUAGAAAGUUUUUUUUGUUUUUUUUUUUGUUUUCUUUCAUUUGGCACAGUCUAGUAUUCCGUUGUUCUCCUCAGUUCUUAAAUAUUGUGAGUUUGCUAGUGUUUCUGUUUUGUUCUGUAAAAUUGUUUAUUAUUUUUCCUCUUCUCUUUCUUUGUAAAUAAUUUCAACUUUAUUACUUUAUGUAUACUUUGUAAUAAAUUACAAGUUCACUUGUAUUUCGUACUGCC